UACGGAGGAUGCAAGCGUUAUCCGGAAUUAUUGGGCGUAAAGCGUCCGCAGGUGGCACUUCAAGUCUGCUGUCAAAGACCGGGGCUUAACCCUGGAAAGGCAGUGGAAACUGAAGCGCUAGAGUGUGGCAGGGGUAGAGGGAAUUCCCGGUGUAGCGGUGAAAUGCGUAGAGAUCAGGAAGAACACCGGUGGCGAAAGCGCUCUGCUGGACCUUAACUGACACUGAGGGACGAAAGCUAGGGGAGCGAAUGGG
rnacentral:rRNA from 1 species